rnacentral:lncRNA from 1 species
CUGUGUACAACUGUAAAAUGUCAACUUUUGAACCCCAUUAUAAGAUAUAGUGGGAAGGGUAUAUGAAAUUUUGAACCAAGAUACUUUCUUAUAUUGUUUUCUACAUUCGGAAAACUUAACGAUAAUCGGCUCAUUUUAUAUGAAUUUCCUGAAGGUUUUCACCACUAAUUAGGUAAUGGAGCCUAGAAAACUAAGAAAGCAUAAACCUAAUACUUUUGCAACAAGGUGGUAUUUCGUUACAUGAAUAACAAAACAAAAAAUCCAUCAAUGUAUAAGCGAUAUAAUUUUACAAUCGGAAACAGGUGUGGAGUAAAGGUGUAAAAUUAAUGAUUACUUUUGAACCUGCAGCAUCAGCGAGUCCCUGUUUGCUUUAUAGAGCUGUAACUCACAAUAGGAUAAUUUGAUCUAUAUGAUAAUCACUAAUGUUAUGUAACUAACAAACAAAUUGACGAUAAUCGGCUCAAUUUAUAUGAAUUUCCUGAAGGUUUUCACCACUAAUUAGGUAACGGAGCCAACUGCAGGACAGAAAACUAAGAAAGCAUAAACCUAAACACAGGGUUUAUAAAACAUUUCAAGCAUCAUAAAACCAAUAACUGCAUAAAAUUCUUUAUUAAAAUAUGAAUUAUAAAGCUAAGGCAAAUUCCUAUAUACUGCUUCCACAUGUAAAAGGUAGACACACCUUUGGAAAUAUGCACAUGCCACAUUUGUCAGAUUUGAAAAUAGGAAUUAAAAUUCUUAGAACUUCGCUUAAAAUACUAAAAACAUAUAGCAUCAUCUCAGUUACUUUUUCACGUGUCUAACUAUCUUUUAAAUCACCAAGGAGCUGGUUGUAUUACUCUUUUGACAAUGCUUCACCAAGAUCAUCAUCACACUUCUCUUUACUUCUUAGUCCAGUAAUCGAACCAUCAUAGUAGUCGAUUUCAAAAGACUAACUAGCAGACUUCUAUUUCGAGUUUCCACGCAAUCCACGAUCAUAUUUAGUUGCAAAGAUCUUAGCCAGCUUCUGAGUUAACUCUCCAAUCACUAAAUGAGCAUACUUUCCACACAACUCUCUCCUGUACCACAUCAUGAACUGUUUUUCGAACGAACCUGAUUCAGUUUUCAAAGUAUGAUUCUCAAGUUUCACAAGAAAUUCCUCUAAGAGCACAACUGCCUCUCUGUGCCUAUCUAGGCGAAAUAGAGCCUUUAUUAACAGAUAAUAUGUAGCCGAGUUAGGUGCUGGCCAGUUGUGCCAACCACUUCUGUUGUUCAUCAAUUUAAGAACGCAACUGGCUUCAUCCGAAAAUCCAUUGCUACAUAAACUGGC